AUCCUUUCUUGGUCUUUUGGCUAAGAUCAAGUGUAGUAUCUGUUUUUAUUAGUUUGAUCUCUGAUGUAUUCUCUAAAUGAGAAUGUUGUCCUAAAGAGAUUUUUAGAGCAGGAAGCUGGAAUAGGGGCUUGUUUUUUUUCUGCUCUGUAUAUCAACUUGGUAUUGUAAUACUUCCAGAAUUAGUAUUCUUGUU